UUAGGUGACAAUGCAUUAAACCGGGGUGCGCUACUACACGUUCCCCCGGAACGAGAUUCUAUGGAGAACCUCAGGUACAAGAUUGCCAGCCUUGUUGGAAACAAACGCAGAAACAAAUAUGUAGAGGCAAACUGCCCACCUUGGUGGAGAGCCACUGGAAUCCAGUUUCAUUCGCCAUACAACAAAAUGAACAACUUGUCUUUGAACAAAAUGCAGUUGCAGACCUUGAUUAGAAGCGCCAGG
rnacentral:lncRNA from 1 species